CGGGGUGUGGCGCAGCUUGGUAGCGCGCGUCGUUCGGGACGACGAGGUCGCAGGUUCAAAUCCUGUCACCCCGACCA
rnacentral:tRNA from 83 species